UCUUGACCAUGUCCGUCUAGAGGACAUCAAUUUGGAAUGGAUCACCCCAUUCUGGAAAACACAAGUCUUGACCACGUCACUCUUGAACAGGACUUCUUUUAGCAGGUGUCGUCUUGGCCUGUUGGUGUCAACGUCCACGGGAAUGACUGUGGAAGGAAGUGAACUCUUAUUUUAAAGACAUACGCAAGGACAAGGGGGUCUCCACGGUAGGCAUGUCCAGAAAGGAGUACUCCACAUAGAGACGCACCACGCUGCUGUCUAGAGAGAUGCGAGACUCCGCCUGCAGGCGUAAGGACAUGACCUCCACCCGCACUCGCUCUGACACCUUAGGGGAGGAUCACCAUCAACCCCUUGUCUCUGAUGAACCCAUCAUGGUGAGAUGCUUACUGACAUUCGUGGGACUGUCAGGGUGGUGAACGAUGCCAUCGUCGCUGUCCGACUGAAUUGAACCGCUGCGGUUUCGUCUGCGCACCGGUGCCAUCUCAUCAUCUGUGUGGAAGAAGUGAGAACGCCACCUGCUGGACAAGAGGCAUAUCUUCUAGAAAGGUCACUCUUCUGGCAGCCUGUUCCUGUUUGCCUGGCAUCUUCUUGGUGGACUUCAGUGUAGCUUCCUAAAGGGAGGAAAGAAGACUUUAGGGCGGUGGUUCUCAAUUAUUUUCUGCAUUGCUACACCCAAGCAGACAAAAAUAUUUUCAUGCCGCCCAUGAAUUGAAAUACAGUGUAACCUCGAUCUUUGUGUACGAAGGUUUUAUUUCGUCAUUAGUUUUUAGUCCCGCCUGCAGGCAAAAGCAGGGUGCAGCAUUUUUGGGGAGGUAGAGCACCCCACGUCACCUGCUGCACAAUGAAGGACACUCCUUGUCACUUCUCAGAGCUUCAGCAUGUGUGCCUUUUGUGUUUUUUCUUACCCUUUUGACACGUUUGUAUUUUUUAAAAUGUUUGUAUAUGUGGCAAUAUGGUUGUUAAGGUUUUUUUGUGAUUCCCGAUGUUUUG